UCACCCACUCUCGCCCAGUGGGCAGCCACGGAAACAAGAGGAGAGUGAGAAGGGCCUCCCGAGGAGAGCAGACGCACGAACGCAGGCUCCGCCACCCGAGCCGCUCCGUUACCGCAGCGGCGACGACGACCAGGGCCGUGUUGUUGCUGCCAACUUGUCGAAAGGACACUGAGCAUGCGCGCGCGGAGACCACAUCCGGGUUCUCUGGAUCCUAACACUAGGCUCACACACAGCAAGUGUCAGAAAAUAUUUGUUGAAUGAAUGCAUGGAGAAGAGAGACUGGGAUAAGACUGGAAGAUAGACGAGGGGCUAGACUAUGAAGGACAACGUGCUGAGGUACUGAACUCCACUUGGAGCCAUGUAUGUUGGGCUUGUUUUUAUUCUCUUAUUGAGGUAUAAUUUACAUAUUAAAACCUCCCUUCAGCUGGAU
rnacentral:lncRNA from 1 species